rnacentral:rRNA from 1 species
AUGAACGCUGGCGGUAUGCUUAACACAUGCAAGUCGAACGGAAACGAUACUAGCUUGCUAGUAGGCGUCGAGUGGCGGACGGGUGAGUAACGCGUAGGAAUCUGCCUGAUAGUGGGGGAUAGCCCGGAGAAAUUCGGAUUAAUACCGCAUAAUCUAUUCGUAGUAAAGUGGGGGACUUUCGAGCCUCACGCUAUCAGAUGAGCCUGCGUAAGAUUAGCUUGUUGGUAGGGUAAAAGCCUACCAAGGCGACGAUCUUUAGCUGGUCUGAGAGGAUGAU